rnacentral:misc_RNA from 1 species
GAUGAAGAACGCAGUGAAAUGCGAUACGUAAUGUGAAUUGCAGAAUUCAGUGAAUCAUCGAGUCUUUGAACGCACAUUGCGCCCCCUGGUAUUCCGGGGGGCAUGCCUGUCCGAGCGUCAUUGCUGCCCUCAAGCACGGCUUGUGUGUUGGGCCUCCGUCCUCCUCCCGGGGGACGGGCCCGAAAGGCAGCGGCGGCACCGCGUCCGGUCCUCGAGCGUAUGGGGCUUCGUCACCCGCUCUUGUAGGCCCGGCCGGCGCUUGCCGACACAUCAAUCUUUUUUCCAGGUUGACCUCGGAUCAGGUAGGGAUACCCGCUGAACUUAAGCAUAUCAAUAAGCGGA